rnacentral:rRNA from 1 species
GAAUGCUGACAUAAGUAACGAUAAAGCGGGUGAAAAGCCCGCUCGCCGGAAGACCAAGGGUUCCUGUCCAACGUUAAUCGGGGCAGGGUGAGUCGACCCCUAAGGCGAGGCCGAAAGGCGUAGUCGAUGGGAAACGGGUUAAUAUUCCCGUACUUGGUGUUACUGCGAAGGGGGGACGGAGAAGGCUAUGUUGGCCGGGCGACGGUAGUCCCGGUUUAAGCGUGUAGGCUGGUUUUCCAGGCAAAUCCGGAAAAUCAAGGCUGAGGCGUGAUGACGAGGCACCACGGUGCUGAAGCAACAAAUGCCCUGCUUCCAGGAAAAGCCUCUAAGCAUCAGGUAACAUCAAAUCGUACCCCAAACCGACACAGGUGGUCAGGUAGAGAAUACCAAGGCGCUUGAGAGAACUCGGGUGAAGGAACUAGGCAAAAUGGUGCCGUAACUUCGGGAGAAGGCACGCUGACACGUAGGUGAAGUGAUUUACUCACGGAGCUGAAGUCAGUCGAAGAUACCAGCUGGCUGCAACUGUUUAUUAAAAACACAGCACUGUGCAAACACGAAAGUGGACGUAUACGGUGUGACGCCUGCCCGGUGCCGGAAGGUUAAUUGAUGGGGUCAGCGCAAGCGAAGCUCCUGAUCGAAGCCCCGGUAAACGGCGGCCGUAACUAUAACGGUCCUAAGGUAGCGAAAUUCCUUGUCGGGUAAGUUCCGACCUGCACGAAUGGCGUAAUGAUGGCCAGGCUGUCUCCACCCGAGACUCAGUGAAAUUGAACUCGCUGUGAAGAUGCAGUGUACCCGCGGCAAGACGGAAAGACCCCGUGAACCUUUACUAUAGCUUGACACUGAACAUUGAGCCUUGAUGUGUAGGAUAGGUGGGAGGCUUUGAAGCGUGGACGCCAGUCUGCGUGGAGCCGACCUUGAAAUACCACCCUUUAAUGUUUGAUGUUCUAACGUGGACCCGUAAUCCGGGUUGCGGACAGUGUCUGGUGGGUAGUUUGACUGGGGCGGUCUCCUCCUAAAGAGUAACGGAGGAGCACGAAGGUUGGCUAAUCCUGGUCGGACAUCAGGAGGUUAGUGCAAUGGCAUAAGCCAGCUUGACUGCGAGCGUGACGGCGCGAGCAGGUGCGAAAGCAGGUCAUAGUGAUCCGGUGGUUCUGAAUGGAAGGGCCAUCGCUCAACGGAUAAAAGGUACUCCGGGGAUAACAGGCUGAUACCGCCCAAGAGUUCAUAUCGACGGCGGUGUUUGGCACCUCGAUGUCGGCUCAUCACAUCCUGGGGCUGAAGUAGGUCCCAAGGGUAUGGCUGUUCGCCAUUUAAAGUGGUACGCGAGCUGGGUUUAGAACGUCGUGAGACAGUUCGGUCCCUAUCUGCCGUGGGCGCUGGAAGACUGAGGGGGGCUGCUCCUAGUACGAGAGGACCGGAGUGGACGCAUCACUGGUGUUCGGGUUGUCAUGCCAAUGGCACUGCCCGGUAGCUAAAUGCGGAAAAGAUAAGUGCUGAAAGCAUCUAAGCACGAAACUUGCCCCGAGAUGAGUCUUCCCUGAGACUUUGAGUCUCCUGAAGGAACGUUAAAGACGAUGACGUUGAUAGGCCGGGUGUGUAAGCGCAGCGAUGCGUUGAGCUAACCGGUACUAAUGAACCGUGAGG